CGAGCCGAUGCCCGAUUCCGCGCCCGCCAUGGCCGACAAAAUGGACAUGUCUCUGGACGACAUCAUUAAACUGAACCGGAGCCAGCGAGGCGGCCGGGGCGGGGGCCGGGGCCGCGGCCGGGCCGGCUCCCAGGGCGGCCGCGGCGGUGGGGCGCAGGCCGCCGCGCGAGUGAAUCGAGGCGGCGGGCCCAUCCGGAACCGGCCGGCCAUCGCCCGCGGCGCGGCCGGCGGAGGCGGCAGGAACCGACCGGCGCCCUACAGCAGGCCAAAACAACUUCCCGACAAGUGGCAGCACGAUCUUUUCGACAGUGGCUUCGGCGGUGGUGCCGGCGUGGAGACAGGUGGGAAACUGCUGGUGUCCAAUCUGGAUUUUGGAGUCUCAGACGCCGAUAUUCAGGAACUCUUUGCUGAAUUUGGAACGCUGAAGAAGGCGGCUGUGCACUAUGAUCGCUCUGGUCGCAGCUUAGGAACAGCAGACGUGCACUUUGAGCGGAAGGCAGAUGCCCUGAAGGCCAUGAAGCAGUACAACGGCGUCCCUCUGGAUGCAAGCUACAUCCCUCCCCUCCUUCAGCUCCUUCCGGAAGAUUCACUUCUGUGAAGCCUUCUCAGAACCGCCAUAGUACACCUCUGAGUGCGGGGCUGUAGUCGUAAAGACAAAGGCCGCCCCAUGAACAUUCAGCUUGUCACGUCACAGAUUGACGCACAGCGGAGGCCUGCACAGAGCGUAAACAGAGGUGGCAUGACUAGAAACCGUGGCGCUGGAGGUUUUGGUGGUGGUGGAGGCACCCGGAGAGGCACCCGCGGAGGCGCCCGUGGAAGAGGCAGAGGUGCCGGCAGGAAUUCAAAGCAGCAGCUUUCGGCAGAGGAGCUGGAUGCCCAGCUGGACGCCUAUAAUGCGAGAAUGGACACCAGUUAAACAGACCAGCAAAUCCGCGUGCGGAACAGGACCCAGGCGUCUCCUCUUGCUCCCUGGUUGGGGGGCGGUGGCUGGGGCUGUGCGGCCAAUGAUGGAUUUGUUUCUUUUAUGUUUUAAAAUAGGAUUUAAAAACUCAUGUAAAGGUUUUUUUUUUUUCUUUUUUUUUUUUUUUAAUUCUGAAACAGACCUGUUUUGUACCGAGUUAUUUUUGGGAUAAAUUUUACUGGUUGCUGUUGUGGAGAAGGUGGCGUUUCCACCUUUUCCAUAAUAAAAUAGAAAUGUGUGUAGAACUGGAA